rnacentral:lncRNA from 1 species
GGCAUGAUCUCGGCUCACCACAACCUCCACCUCCAGGUUCAAGCGAUUCUCCUGCCUCAGCCUCCUGAGUAGCUGGGACUACAGGUGCGCCCCACCAUGCCCAGCUAAUUUUUGUAUUUUUAGUAGCGAUGGGGUUUCACUAUGUUGGCCAGGCUGGUAUCGAACUCCUGACCUCGUGAUUCACCUGCCUUGGCCUCCCAAAGUGCUGGCAUUACAGGCAUGAGCCACCGCACCCGGCCUAAACACAUAGUUUUUUUGUUUGUUUGUUUUUUGUUUUUACCUUUUUUUUUUCUAAACACAUAGUUUUAACCUAUCUUCCAAUCUCCUUCUUUUCUUAAAACUUGCUUUGUGGCCUCAGCAAGACAUCAAGACCAUUGAUCACGUUUUUUAUUUUUAUUCAGUUAUACUCUCACAUGUCUUUUCCAAACCAGCUUAGACUUCAUGAACCAGUACUUCAAUGGUUUCUUGACAGGAUCUUUAACUUCCUUAUAAUCAUUUUCUGCAUCAAAGUAACCAUCUGCUUUUCCCUUUAGGAAGAAAGUCACACAACCACAUAUUUUCUGAACAUAAGCUGAACUUCUACUUCCAUGGAGUGAGUUACUUCACCUCAUUGGCAAAAGACAACAGAAGAGUCCAAAGUCUGAGGGGACUGGGCAAGCUUCUGUCACAUGCUUUCAGAAUGAAGACAAUCUGCAAGAAUUUUAAGUUGUGACCUCUACAGAGAAAAGAAUGAAAAGUAGCCAAAUCUCCACAUGAGAGAUUUUGGACUAUUUUGCAGUGUAAACCCCAUCUGAUUUAUAUGAAGU